CUCAAAAUUCUACCUGUUACCAUCAUAAAUGUCGAAACCUAUGCACUCUCAAAGGACCUUAACAAUCAAGUCAAGUCAAGUCACAAUACAGUCAGAAGAAAGUAGUGCGGAAUUUCAAGUAAGACAUGCAAAAACAAUGAAAGGCUUAUCAAUACCUAAACAAACUGUGGAAACAGGGGGGAUUAUCAUGAAAUAUCCUUGUAUAAAUAAGAAAAUUGCACCAAUGAUCAAUACCAAACCUAGAAUCAUAAGUGGUCAAGACAAUUGGCCGUUAUUGGUUAACAUAAAAAUUAUUACUGGUUCAGCAACCAAAUACAAUUUAAAAAAAUGAAUUUGCUUGUUAUACUCAUGGAAAAUGAAGAGAUGGAAUAUUGGAAUAUUGACAUUUCUGGAACAGAUAAAAUUGAGAAAUCCAUGUCAAAAGAGGACAAGUGGGUACAAACCAUUGAGAAGACUAUAAGGAAUAUUGGAGACAGAUGGGAAAUUGGACUCUUGUAGAUGUGUGAAGAAAUGAGAAUUUAGUUCUCCCAGAAAGCAGAAAUAAUGCGUUGAAUAGGUAGGUUAGCAUGUAUGAAAAGGAAAAUAAACAAAAGUCUCGAGUAUGGUAUCAAAUUCAAUCUUCAAAGAUUUGAUAUCUUUCACAUUUUGGUAUUAUUAACCCAAAUAAACCGAAUAAAUUCAGAAUUGUAUUCGAUGCUUCUUCAAAAUCAAAUGGCAAAUGAUUGCUUAAUGACAGGUUCCGAUUUAUAUACAUCGUUUCAUACAAUUUUGAUGAAUUUAAGGAUUGAGAGACAGACUUUCACCAGUAAUAUUGAGGAAAUGUUUUUACAAGUGAAAGUUCGCCACGAAGAUUGUCCAGCUCGAAGGUUUAUAUGGCGUGGACUUGACAGAAAUAGAGAACCCGAAGAAUAUGAAAUCAAAUUAGUUUUCUUUGGAUUAUCAAAUGGCCCAUGCCUAACGCAGGAAGCAAAGAAACGAAAUACUCCAGAAUUAUCAAGAAAUUUCUAGCAGCGACGGAAGAAAUUAUUGAACAUCACUAUAUAGAUAAUUAAUUAGGUAAUGCAGAUUCCAUUGUGGAGGGCAUGAAACUCAUUGAUGAUACAAUUAUACACACAUCAAAAGUCUUGGACCCCCAUUAAUCUACUAUCUGUUAAACAAACAGGACCAAUGAUAUUAAUGGAUAACAUAUUACUGAUUUUUUACAAUUUUUUUGUAAUAUUGGCACCGAAUAUUUAGCACUGUAAAUUGACACUUUUCUUCCAAAAUAUUACUAGUGCGUGAAAUUCCUGCUUUGAAAAGAAUCCCAGCUCCAGCCCUUAGGAAUCAACGUACGUAGAAUUCAACGUACAUUUCGCCGUGUUAUAUUUACAUCUACAGUUAGAAGAAGACUGAAUUGGGCACAUCUUCGAGCAAGAAGGCCUUUAGGGGCAUCCACUCUAUUUCCACAACACAGAGCUAUCCGCUUACAAUGGGCACGAAAGCACAACGAAUGGCUUUUGAGACAGUGGGGAUGUGUGAUGGUUCCUAUUUACAGGUGAAAUCAGAAUUGGGCUGCGUAAAGGGGCGAUAAUGGCUAUGAAUUUUUGAGUGAAACAAAUUCUAGAAUAACUGGUUCAGUCCUAAAUGUAUCUAUUCCUUCAAAUUGUAUAAUAAAUCGUUGGGCGGAGUUGAAAUGAAAGAAAUUUUGCUAAUAAAUGAGCGGCUCAUGGAAUAAAUAAAUUGCUAACUAUCACGUUGUAUUUUAUUAGGAGAAAAAUUUGAUCAAAUCUUAUCACAACGAUAAAAAUUGAGAUUUGAAUCAACGUCAGUUUUGAGUUUGUCAAGUUCUAAGGAGUAUUUUUAACAGAAUUUAAAUUGAAUGGUAUUGAUUGCAUUAUCAAUAGCUUGGGCUGACAGACUCAAAAGAAACACUACUUAAUUGAUAAUGAUAACAUCAUUAUUUGUACAAUACUUCAAAGCGAAUGUAAACUGAUUAAGAGUAAAAUAUAAAACCGUUUCCAAUAAAAUAGAUAUAAUUAUUACAUUGUAAAAUAAAUUCCAUCAAAAUCUGA